rnacentral:rRNA from 1 species
GACGAACGCUGGCGGCGUGCCUAAUACAUGCAAGUAGGACGCUGAAGGAGGAGCUUGCUUCUCUGGAUGAGUUGCGAACGGGUGAGUAACGCGUAGGUAACCUGCCUGGUAGCGGGGGAUAACUAUUGGAAACGAUAGCUAAUACCGCAUAAUAGUAGAUGUUGCAUGACAUUUGCUUAAAAGUUGCAAUUGCAUCACUACCAGAUGGACCUGCGUUGUAUUAGCUAGUUGGUGGGGUAACGGCUCACCAAGGCGACGAUACAUAGCCGACCUGAGAGGGGGAUCGGCCACACUGGGACUGAGACACGGCCCAGACUCCUACGGGAGGCAGCAGUAGGGAAUCUUCGGCAAUGGACGGAAGUCUGACCGAGCAACGCCGCGUGAGUGAAGAAGGGUUUCGGAUCGUAAAGCUCUGUUGUAAGAGAAGAACGAGUGUGAGAGUGGAAAGUUCACACUGUGACGGUAUCUUACCAGAAAGGGACGGCUAACUACGUG